UGUUUCAUGAAUUAUAUAUGAAAUAAUACCUGCCCAGUGACAAUUGUUCAACGGCCGCGGUAUCCUAACCGUGCAAAGGUAGCAUAAUAACUUGCCUAUUAAUUGUAGGCUAGAAUGAAGGGGUCAACGAAAUAAAAACUGUCUCAAUUAGUUAACUAAAAAUUAUUCUCUAUCUGAAGAAAGGUAGAUACCCUCGAAGGACAAGAAGACCCUAUAGAGCUUUAUUUAAAAUAUAAAUAUAUAUUAUUUAAUAAUUCGGUUGGGGCGACCAAGGAAAUAAAAAUCACCCAUUAUAUAAUAGAUAAAUUAAUCUAAUAAAUGACCCUAUUAAGAUCAAAAAAUCAAGCUACCUUAGGGAUAACAGGCUAAUCCCAUUCUAGAGUUCAUAUCAACAAUGGGGGUUGGCACCUCGAUGUUGGCUUAGGUAUAAAUAUGGCGCAAAAGCUAUAUAAAAAUGGUUUGUUCAACCAAUAAAUUCCU
rnacentral:rRNA from 1 species